CCUACGGGAGGCAGCAGUGAGGAAUAUUGGUCAAUGGCCGGGAGGCUGAACCAGCCAAGUCGCGUGAGGGAAGACGGUCCUACGGGUUGUAAACCUCUUUUGUCAGGGAGCAAGGUGCAGGUCGGGACCUGCUGUGAGAGUACCUGAAGAAAAAGCAUCGGCUAACUCCGUGCCAGCAGCCGCGGUAAUACGGAGGAUGCGAGCGUUAUCCGGAUUUAUUGGGUUUAAAGGGUGCGCAGGCGGAGGCACAAGUCAGCGGUAAAAUCGCGGGGCUCAACCCCGCUCCGCCGUUGAAACUGUGGCCCUUGAGUGCGCGAAGGGUAGGCGGAAUGCGUGGUGUAGCGGUGAAAUGCAUAGAUAUCACGCAGAACUCCGAUCGCGAAGGCAGCCUACCGGCGCGCAACUGACGCUCAUGCACGAAAGCGUGGGUAUCGAACAGGAUUAGAUACCCCGGUAGUC
rnacentral:rRNA from 1 species